UAAUACUAAGAAUAACCAUUUAUAUACAGUAUUUUUAACAUUACUUUUUUAUAUAAUGACAAUUUGUAUUAACCACGUCGUCCAUUAUACAAAUAAACUUGGUGUAAGUAUUCUCUUAUGUGAAGCUAUGGACAAAUAAAACUACAGAUUUCUGCUACAGAAUCAAGACUAACAGGGAAAUGGGACACAUGGUUUCAUCUAACAACGAAAGAUGCACAAUUCCUUCGAGCUGGGACGGUAAUUUGAAUGGAUUACAAGAACUAAGAAGACGAUGGAUAUAUGUGCUGGUAAACAGCUGCCGACGACAACACCCAAAAUUCAGUCCGGGGGCCAGAGUGGCGAGCAGAACGCGUGUGCGGUCAAUGGGGACACGACUUACCGGUCUCGAAGAAUGAGCACUUGCGUGAUGCCAACAGGAUGGACGAUUGUAAAUAACAAUAAUAAUAAAUAAUAUUAUCGGGUAUCGCGUUCACUGACCGAAAUGUAAGCACGUUGGAUGAUUAAUGUUUGUACUUUGUCGUCGUCGUCGUAGUCGUGGACGGGCGGUGGCGGUGCAAACGACUGGCGAGAGGCGGCGGCGGAAGCUAUGUUAUUAUAAAUGCCAAGUCCGGACUAGGUAUACAGCGUUCGGCGAUAAUGCACUAGUAAA